UUCAUAAGGCUCUAAUUAAAGUUAUUCUGUUUUUUACGGGUGCUUUUAUGGUUCUAGUGACAGAUUAUCAAGAUUUCUACAUUACUCACAGAGAAACACUCUCGAGAAUCCGACUAAUUAUCUCUGUGGCCUUUGAAAGUACUCGUGGAGAGAGAGCAGAGCGUUUCAGAGUACCGGCCAUUAUCUGUCAAAGUAAUGGCUAACAGCGCUCGACAGACCCAGUACCAACAACACACACACUCACAUACACACACAGAUCCCGGCAGUCUUGCAUUACCUGCUGUUCGUAGAUCUUGGCAAAGCGCUGCUGCAGUUCCUGGCGGUGUCUGGCUUUCUCCUCCUCUAGCAUUUCUCGCAGCCCAUAAAAGAGAAGAGGAAGUGGUAACAGCGGCCGUGGCGACAGCUAUACGAGGGGCAAUGGGAGGUGGAGAGCGUUUCAGAGUACCGGCCAAGGCUGCUUCAUCCAUGACAGUCUGGGAGAUCAAGGACAGAGGGACGCCACGGAAAUCUGCAAGACUGUGAGAGACCCAAACAGCACGCCGCCAACACAACUGAGAGGACCUAGAAUUCCAUGUGUGGCGGAGUACCCAACACUAGGCAUUCAAUACACUCAGGGCCGUGGAGGAGGGCGUGAGGUGACGAUUUGUGUUCUCUACUCGUCCUGCCAAGGUGAGGAUCGCUUGGCGAGGGCAUCAUUGACUACCACCAUCACCACCUGGUACCACCAUCUUCCCCUCUGCUCACCUCCCUUAAGUCAGACAGGCCGUGACCAGUGUCUGUAGCAGUCGGCAACGCCAGCAGGAACACCGCACCGUAUCUGGGGCAGUCCUGAAAUUAAUAAAACUUGCAACAGUA